rnacentral:misc_RNA from 1 species
AGAUUUCUUUUUUUUAUAUAAUCUUUUACAAACACGUUAGCGUUCAUAACACGCUUGCUACGAUUACUACGUUUGCCCAAAGUAUUACUACUAGUAGACAUUGGAACUGUAUUAAUCCAUACGCUUGUCGGUGUUUUCGAAAAUUCAGGAUUCGUUGUACCAAAGGACGUACUCAAAGAACUAAUUGUUUCACUAGGUCCAAAAGCACCAGUUGAAUACGAUUGGGAUGUUAACAUUUCAAAUUCACUGUCGGUGCCAGUCAUUACCAAAUAUUUUUUAUCACUGUGCAUUACCUACGACUUGCCAGAAACGUAUAAGCG